UAGGGAAUCUUCGGCAAUGGACGAAAGUCUGACCGAGCAACGCCGCGUGAGUGAAGAAGUUUUCGGAUCGUAAAACUCUGUUGGUAGAGAAGAACGUUGGUGAGAGUGGAAAGCUCAUCAAGUGACGGUAACUACCCAGAAAGGGACGGCUAACUACGUGCCAGCAGCCGCGGUAAUACGUAGGUCCCGAGCGUUGUCCGGAUUUAUUGGGCGUAAAGCGAGCGCAGGUGGUUUAUUAAGUCUGGUGUAAAAGGCAGUGGCUCAACCAUUGUAUGCAUUGGAAACUGGUAGACUUGAGUGCAGGAGAGGAGAGUGGAAUUCCAUGUGUAGCGGUGAAAUGCGUAGAUAUAUGGAGGAACACCGGUGGCGAAAGCGGCUCUCUGACCUGUAACUGACACUGAGGCUCGAAAGCGUGGGGAGCAAACAGGAUUAGAUACCCUGGUAGUCCACGCCGUAAACGAUGAGUGCUAGAUGUAGGGAGCUAUAAGUUCUCUGUAUCGCAGCUAACGCAAUAAGCACUCCGCCUGGGGAGUACGACCGCAAGGUUGAAAC
rnacentral:rRNA from 1 species